AUUGAACGCUGGCGGCAGGCCUAACACAUGCAAGUCGAGCGAGUGGCGGACGGGUGAGUAAUGUCUGGGAAACUGCCUGAUGGAGGGGGAUAACUACUGGAAACGGUAGCUAAUACCGCAUACCAUCGGAUGUGCCCAGAUGGGAUUAGCUAGUUGGUGGGGUAAGGGCUCACCAAGGCGAAGAUCCCUAGCUGGUCUGAGAGGAUGACCAGCCACACUGGAACUUAGCCACGGUCCAGACUCCUACGGCAGGCAGCAGUGGGUAAUAUUGCACAAUGGGCGCAAGCCUGAUGCAGCCAUGCCGCUUGUAUGAAGAAGGCCUUCGGGUUGUAAAGUACUUUCAGCGGGGAGGCGUUACCCGCAGAAGAAGCACCGGCUAACUCCGUGCCAGCAGCCGCGGUAAUUC
rnacentral:rRNA from 1 species